UUAUAUUUUGAUAUUUUUUAAUAAAACUUAAGAAGCUUCUAGAGAAAGAGAGAGUAGGGCACAGUAUUCUUAUGAGUAUAGAAUCUUUCGUACUAAUAAAUUAUUUUCGAUGAUAUAGCUUCCGAAUUUAUGAUUCAUACCGUUAAAUAUAAUUUAGGACAUUUAAAAUUUUAGGAUAAAAAAUUUUGUAAUUUUUUUAAAAUUAUAAUAAAGUUCAUUAAGCAGAUAUAAAAUGAACGGUUAAAAUUGAACGACGUCUUAAAAAUAGAGGAUCGGAUACUUCAAUUUAAGAUCGGAGUUAUUAAUCUUUAUUUAGAUAGUAAAUAGUUUUUUUUUUAUCAAAAAAUUAAUUAAUCUUGAUUUUUGUAUACCGUUAAACUAAUAAGUAUUCUAUACCGGUCGUUAAAAUUAUCGAUUUUGAGAUUUUUUUUAUCGUGAAGUAAAUGAUGUCGAAAAAUUAUGAAAAUUAAUUUUUAAAAACUCAAAAUGCUUUAAAUAAUAUUUAAAAGUAUGGAUCGUCAAUUUGAAAGCUUUAUUAUCGAAAAUCGAUAAUUUAUGAGUACAAAAGUGAUCGGACUUAUAAAAAUAUAACAGCGGAACUCUCUCUCUCUCUCUGUAUAUAUAGCUAGCACUACUCUCUCUCUCUCUCUCUCUCUAUCUCUAUCUCUGAAUGGGAUAUGGAUUUUAAUUUCAUCAAUUAUUCGAAUUUGUAUUCCGAUGGAUAUGAAUAUGAAUCGAGUACUAUCCCAUCCUAGCUACUGGGUUUGGUUAUUAUAAUAAAAUUACGAAAUUCCUCACUUACAGUGUAAUAUAAUUUCUGUGGAACGGGUGCAUUUUGACUUACACGGAGCGUGUCGGUGGAAGUCAAGUUUAAGUGAACUUCUCUUCCUCAUGCUUUUUUACUUACAUCAGAACAAACACUUGCGUAAUUUAAUUGGUUUAUAUAUAUAUAUAUAU
rnacentral:lncRNA from 1 species